CACUCUCUCUCUCUCUCUCUCUCUCUCUCUCUCUCUCCGUGUUUCGCUGCCCUUCGUCGUCCCAAGUCUUUAGCUGUGGCCAUGGCGUCAGCGAUGGCGCCUCAGCCCGUCUGCGGGAAGGAAGCUUUCGAUCUGCUGAACUGCACCAUCAAAUCGCCCUUCGACAGGGCGAAGUGCAUUCGCUUCUUGGACGCUCUGCGGAAUUGCGUGCUCGAGAAGAAAGUGAAAAAGUUUUCGUUGGCUGGACAGAGGUAUGGAGCAGAAGUUCCAAAAAGCGAGGACAAGCUUUGAAUUUCCAUUGAUAGGACCACCAAUAGAAAAUCUUGUUGCAUUUUUUCGUGAUGACUAAUUCUACUGUCAUAAUCUGAGUGUUGGCUGAGGUGUAUUGGUGGGAAAUGUUGCCACCAAAAUCAAAGGGAAGAAAGAGAGGGAUUUUACAAUUACUUUGCUUAUCAAUCCAGAUCUCUUUCUUCUGACUUCAA